CAGCAGCCGCGGUAAUACAGAGGGUGCGAGCGUUAAUCGGAUUUACUGGGCGUAAAGCGUGCGUAGGCGGCUUCUUAAGUCGGAUGUGAAAUCACUGAGCUUAACUUAGGAAUUGCAUUCGAUACUGGGAAGCUAGAGUAUGGGAGAGGAUGGUAGAAUUCCAGGUGUAGCGGUGAAAUGCGUAGAGAUCUGGAGGAAUACCGAUGGCGAAGGCAGCCAUCUGGCCUAAUACUGACGCUGAGGUACGAAAGCAUGGGGAGCAAACAGGAUUAGAGACCCCGGUAGUCCCUGUCUCUUAUAC
rnacentral:rRNA from 1 species